GACGAACGCUGGCGGCGUGCCUAAUGCAUGCAAGUAGAACGCUGAGGUUUGGUGUUUACACUAGACUGAUGAGUUGCGAACGGGUGAGUAACGCGUAGGUAACCUGCCUCAUAGCGGGGGAUAACUAUUGGAAACGAUAGCUAAUACCGCAUAAGAGUAAUUAACACAUGUUAGUUAUUUAAAAGGAGCAAUUGCUUCACUGUGAGAUGGACCUGCGUUGUAUUAGCUAGUUGGUGAGGUAAAGGCUCACCAAGGCGACGAUACAUAGCCGACCUGAGAGGGUGAUCGGCCACACUGGGACUGAGACACGGCCCAGACUCCUACGGGAGGCAGCAGUAGGGAAUCUUCGGCAAUGGACGGAAGUCUGACCGAGCAACGCCGCGUGAGUGAAGAAGGUUUUCGGAUCGUAAAGCUCUGUUGUUAGAGAAGAACGUUGGUAGGAGUGGAAAAUCUACCAAGUGACGGUAACUAACCAGAAAGGGACGGCUAACUACGUGCCAGCAGCCGCGGUAAUACGUAGGUCCCGAGCGU
rnacentral:rRNA from 1 species